rnacentral:tRNA from 1 species
GGAGAGAUGGCAGAGUGGUCGAAUGCGCCGGUUUGCUAAACCGGUGAACGGUGUAAAACUGUUCCACGGGUUCGAAUCCCGUUCUCUCCGC